CUAGGUGAUUGCUGGUCGAAAGACUAGAGGAAAGUCCAUGCUCGUACUUCCUGGAAUGGAAGUAGUGAUUAUGCUAAAGGAAAAAAUAACUUUAGGCAGGGAGGAGUCCCUGACGGCGGAGAUGCUUCUAAACCUAUAGGCAUGAAGCUAUCUGUAACGCUCCACAGUGACGAAGCCAGAAGAAAUUCUGGAGUGAAACGUUGGAAAGCCCCUUAAACGAGAAACCUAAAUUAUGGUAAGGGAGAUCUUCUGAAGGAAACAGCUUAGGCGGAACUAAAGAAGGUAGGUAGAAAUACUUAGAUAAAUUUUCACCCUCGACAAAACAUGGCUUAUAG
rnacentral:RNase_P_RNA from 1 species